GUACGCUGGCGGCACGCCUAACACAUGCAAGUCGAACGCAGUAGCAAUACUGAGUGGCGAACGGGUGAGUAUAAUGUGGGUAUCUGCCUUUUGGUGAGGAAUAACACGAGGAAACUUGUGCUAAUACCUCAUAAGCCUUUACAGGGAAAGUUUUAACGCCAAAAGAUGAGCCCACACUUGAUUAGCUAGUUGGUGAGGUAAUAGCUCACCAAGGCAACGAUCAAUAGCUGUUCUUAGAGGAAGACCAGCCACAUUGGGACUGAGACACGGCCCAAACUCCUACGGGAGGCAGCAGUGGGGAAUCUUGCACAAUGGGGGAAACCCUGAUGCAGCGAUGCCGCGUGAGUGAAGAAGGCCUUUGGGUUGUAAAGCUCUUUCGUCGGGGAAGAAAAUGACUGUACCCGAAUAAGAAGGUCCGG
rnacentral:rRNA from 1 species